GAUGAAGAACGUAGCGAAAUGCGAUAAGUAAUGUGAAUUGCAGAAUUCAGUGAAUCAUCGAAUCUUUGAACGCACAUUGCGCCCGCCAGUAUUCUGGCGGGCAUGCCUGUUCGAGCGUCAUUUCAACCACCAAGCCCCCGGCUUGUGUUGGGGACCUGCGGCUGCCGCAGGCCCUGAAAACCAGUGGCGGGCUCGCUAGUCACUCCGAGCGUAGUAAUACAUCUCGCUCAGGGCGUGCUGCGGGUUCCGGCCGUUAAAAAAGCCUUAUUUACCCAAGGUUGACCUCGGAUCAGGUAGGAAGACCCGCUGAACUUAAGCAUAUCAAUAAGCGGAGGA
rnacentral:misc_RNA from 1 species